rnacentral:tRNA from 1 species
GAUAUUGUAGCUCAAUGGUUAGAGUGCUCGGUUGUCUCCCGAGAGGUUGCGAGUUCGAAUCUCGUCGGUACUG